rnacentral:rRNA from 1 species
AGCAGCCGCGGUAAUUCCAGCUCCAAUAGCGUAUAUUAAAGUUGUUGCAGUUAAAAAGCUCGUAGUUGAAUUUCGGGGUUAGUAGAUUGGUCAUGCCUCUGGUAUGUACUGGUCUCACUGAUUCCUCCUUCCUGAUGAGCCGUAAUGCCAUUAAUUUGGUGUUGCGAGGAAUCUGGACUGUUACUUUGAAAAAAUUGAGUGUUUAAAGCAGGCUAACGCUUGAAUACAUUAGCAUGGAAUAAUGAAAUAGGACGUUCGAUCCUAUUUUGUUGGUUCUAGGAUUGACGUAAUGAUUAAUAGGGAUAGUUGGGGGCAUUAGUAUUCAAUUGUCAGAGGUGAAAUUCUUGGAUUUAUUGAAGACUAACUACUGCGAAAGCAUUUGCCAAGGAUGUUUCAUUAUCAAGAACGAAGUUAGGGAUCGAAGACGAUCAGACUACCGUCGUAGUCUAACCAUAAACUAU